GACGUAGGUGGCGACCGUUAUCCGGAAUCAUUGGGCGUAAAGGGUGCGUAGAUGGCAUGAUAAGUUAUUAGUGGGAAAUCGAGGCUCAACCUCGUGGAAGCUAGUAAUACUGUUUUGCUUGAGUACAGAAGAGGUUAACGGAACUCCAUGUGGAGCGGUAAAAUGCGUAGAUAUAUGGAAGAACACCAAUAACGGCGAAGGCAGUUAACUAUUCUGUUACUGACAUUGAGGCACGAAAGCGUGGGGAGCAAAACGG
rnacentral:rRNA from 1 species